AAAGGAUUAGUUAAUCAAAUAACAUCAGAAUGUCAAACUGAAAUAAUCAUAAAGGUAUCCUUUU
rnacentral:tRNA from 1 species